GACGUUGUGGCGUAAUGGAAUCGCGCCUGCUUACAGGAGACUUGGGUUCGAUUCCCAGCGUCU
rnacentral:tRNA from 1 species